UACGAAGGGGCUAGCGUUGUUCGGAUUUACUGGGCGUAAAGCGCACGUAGGCGGACUAUUAAGUCAGGGGUGAAAUCCCGGGGCUCAACCCCGGAACUGCCUUUGAUACUGGUGGUCUAGAGUCCGGAAGAGGUGAGUGGAAUUCCGAGUGUAGAGGUGAAAUUCGUAGAUAUUCGGAGGAACACCAGUGGCGAAGGCGGCUCACUGGUCCGGUACUGACGCUGAGGUGCGAAAGCGUGGGGAGCAAACAGGG
rnacentral:rRNA from 1 species